rnacentral:rRNA from 1 species
AGAGUUUGAUCCUGGCUCAGGAUGAACGCUGACAGAAUGCUUAACACAUGCAAGUCAACUUGAACUUCGGUUUGGGUGGCGGACGGGUGAGUAACGCGUAAAGAACUUGCCUCACGGCUAGGGACAACAUUUAGAAAUGAAUGCUAAUACCUGAUAUUAUGAUUUUAAGGCAUCUUAGAAUUAUGAAAGCUAUAAGCACUGUGAGAGAGCUUUGCGUCCCAUUAGCUAGUUGGAGAGGUAACGGCUCACCAAGGCGAUGAUGGGUAGCCGGCCUGAGAGGGUGAUCGGCCACAAGGGGACUGAGACACGGCCCUUACUCCUACGGGAGGCAGCAGUGGGGAAUAUUGGACAAUGGACCAAGAGUCUGAUCCAGCAAUUCUGUGUGCACGAUGAAGUUUUUCGGAAUGUAAAGUGCUUUCAGUUGGGAAGAAAAAAAUGACGGUACCAACAGAAGAAGUGACGGCUAAAUACGUGCCAGCAGCCGCGGUAAUACGUAUGUCNCAAGCGUUANCCGGAUUUANUGGGCGUAAAGNGCGUCUAGGUGGUUAUNUAAGUCUGAUGUGAAAAUGCAGGGCUCAACUCUGUAUUGCGUUGGAAACUGUGUAACUAGAGUACUGGAGAGGUAAGCGGAACUACAAGUGUAGAGGUGAAAUUCGUAGAUAUUUGUAGGAAUGCCGAUGGGGNNCGNNGAGNUNNCUGGACAGAUACUGACGCUGAAGCGCGAAAGCGUGGGUAGCAAACAGGAUUAGAUACCCUGGUAGUCCACGCCGUAAACGAUGAUUACUAGGUGUUGGGGGUCGAACCUCAGCGCCCAAGCAAACGCGAUAAGUAAUCCGCCUGGGGAGUACGUACGCAAGUAUGAAACUCAAAGGAAUUGACGGGGACCCGCACACGCGGUGGAGGUCGCUAGAUGG